rnacentral:rRNA from 1 species
GUGGCGAACUGGUGAGUAACACGUGGGAAAUCUGCCCAGAAGCAGGGGAUAACACUUGGAAACAGGUGCUAAUACCGUAUAACAACAAAAUCCGCAUGGAUUUUGUUUGAAAGGUGGCUUCGGCUAUCACUUCUGGAUGAUCCCGCGGCGUAUUAGUUAGUUGGUGAGGUAAAGGCCCACCAAGACGAUGAUACGUAGCCGACCUGAGAGGGUAAUCGGCCACAUUGGGACUGAGACACGGCCCAAACUCC